ACGGUUUCUGCGUCGCAGCUAACGCAUUAAGCGCCCCGCCUGGGGAGUACGGUCGCAAGACUAAAACUCAAAGGAAUUGACGGGGGCCCGCACAAGCGGCGGAGCAUGUUGCUUAAUUCGACGCAACGCGAAGAACCUUACCAAGGCUUGACAUAUACGAGAACGGGCCAGAAAUGGUCAACUCUUUGGACACUCGUAAACAGGUGGUGCAUGGUUGUCGUCAGCUCGUGUCGUGAGAUGUUGGGUUAAGUCCCGCAACGAGCGCAACCCUCGUUCUAUGUUGCCAGCACGUAAUGGUGGGAACUCAUGGGAUACUGCCGGGGUCAACUCGGAGGAAGGUGGGGAUGACGUGCGAGAGUACGUCC
rnacentral:misc_RNA from 1 species